rnacentral:rRNA from 1 species
CACGUAGGGGACGAGCGUUGUCCGGAUUCAUUGGGCGUAAAGGGCGCGUAGGCGGCUUGUCAAGUCACUUGUGAAAUCUCUGGGCUUAACCCAGAACGGCCAAGUGAAACUGACAUGCUAGAGUGCAGAAGGGGCAAGCGGAAUUCCUGGUGUAGCGGUGAAAUGCGUAGAUAUCAGGAGGAACACCUGCGGUGUAGACGGCUUUCUGGACCAUUGCUGACGCUGAGACACGAAAGCGUGGGUAGCAAACAGG